UUAUGGAGAUCAUGUGAGAAUCUGCUCGAAAUUCCAGCAAGGAUGUUCCUCCGUGGCAAUGAGUCUGCUCUUGUGAAUGUUCACGGGGUUAAGCGGAGUGUAGAAACAGCCUUUCUCCUUGGAUUUCCAUAUGUGGUUGACCGAGCAUUUAUGCAGCCUUUGUAGCACCCAUAAGGGCUUCUAGAGAUAAUAAUUAGAUGGUGUCCUUUGUCUUGUUUCUGCGAAGUUCUGCGACUGUGUUGAUGAGUCUUUAGUGGUAGAAAGGGAGCCCUACUGACUGGCUGUGUGGUUCUUCUUUGCAUCUGACUCCCCCCCACCAGAGAAAUGUGGUAUUCUCAUUGACCCUACACACAAGCAUGCAUACCCUGCAUACUCAAUCUCUUCCUGCUGCCUUGUAUCUUCCUUUGAACACUUUGAUCUGCAUUGCCAGAUCCCAUUGAUCAAAGAUAUAAGCUACAAGCUGAGUCCCAGCAUCCCCCGCCAGAACUCUGCCCAGUGUCAUGCCCAACCCACCCUCCUUUCACCAGCCAUACCCACAGACUGCUUUCUCCUUGUGCCAAGGAAACUGAAGUAGCCUUUCACUCAUACAGGGACAAUGGACCCCUUGCCCUUCGUUGCUAGAAGGAAAGAAGGUUCAGUGGACAGGAUCUUUCAUACUUGGCUUCAUGACUACCUGGAUAAAAAUGACAAAUGCUACCUGUCACCAGGACAGUAGGGAACAGUGUCUAAGAAAACCAGUGGACAUCUACACCAGAUUAUCAACUCUCCACCCAACAUGGAAUUUUCCCAAUGACUGUUUUGAACAUAAUUAUCAAACCUUCUGCAAUCCUGACAAUUUCUGGAUGGCAGCAGAAUUAGCCUGCAGCUGGGGACCAAAGGGGCACGAAGGAGUGUAGAUCGUGUGUUUUUAUCUGUCCUAUGACAAUCUCUGUCUCUUUUGUUUAUGAUCUUGUCGUGUGUGUAUGUGUGUGUGUGUGUCCAUGACACAGUCCAAGUAACAGACAAGUCCAGUUAAAUCCCUUUCUGCCUGGUCCUAGGUUGUUCGUAUCUUCAAAUGAAAAAGAGAGAGAUUUUCCUAGGCCUUGUUUGAUUCAUAAACAUUUUUUUCUAUUAGUUGGGGUUCCCAUCUUCUUAAUCUGACUAGGAACCCAAGGCCCAACUGUGUCUUUUACCCUCCUCUGGUGCCUUGGUUCCAAAUUCUGGAACUUGUAUGAAGAGAAGGUCUACAUUCCUUUCUCACACUUCUCAACCAUCCAGAGCUCUGGAGAAGUCCAACUGAACACAGUAGAUAGCCCUUCCUUUGCCAAAGUCAGCACAUUCCUGGAACAGUCAGGAAAUCAGUAGAAAGAACGUGGCUGGUGAGUAGAGGCCAAGUGACAAACCCCUACUGCUCCUAAAUUUGGGCCUAGAGAACAAGGAUCUAGGUCAAGUAUGGAGUAAACUCUCUGGCAAUCAGGGUUUUUAGCCUUAUCAUACCAGUUUUCAGACAUCUCCAAGGAGAAGGAUGGCCCCUCUCUCCCUGAGUGAUUGAAAUGUCCUCAAUCAUCAGCUAGAAAAACAUUGAGCAAGGAGCUGUGGAAGGAGUGUCUGGAUUUCAAAAGAGCUACUCCAAGCCCACGGAAGCUGAUGUUAAGUGUCCUGACCAAUUCUGUUCUUCAACAAGCCCCAGCUCUGAAACAGGUGUCAGCAGCAAGAGAACUAGAGGGGUGGGGAGUGAGGAAAGGUCAAGCCUUAAACCCCACCACCACCAGGUCAUCUCACUGUAUGGAAAGCUCUUCUGUGUGGUCACUCUGUUGCCAGCCUUGGCAAAGGCUGACGGCUCCAUAGUCUGCUUUGGAAAUUAUGGGGGGAAAAAAAUCCUACCCUAGGUGUUUUUCCAGCCAGAUAACCUAGCUAGAGAAAUGUGGCCCUUGCCUGGCCCUGGGAUGCCCCUCCACUGUGUCUGCCAAAGAAUUUGCCAAUGGAGAAGUAGUUGGGGGAGCUUGGCUCUCACUCGAUAAGGUCCAUGUUCUACAGCUGGUGCCCUGGGGAAACGUAUCCUGGAAGGUGUGACGGGAAAACCACCCUACCUAUGAUGUCAGUAAAGGGCACAAUCCCCUCCUUGAGCAUUUCAUCAUUCCUCCCCCUCCCCCUCCUCCCCCUAUUUCCCGUCCUCCCCUCUCCCUCCUUCUCUUCCUUCUCAUCUACCUGCUCAUCCCUUUCUUCUCUGCUUCUUCCUCUCUUUUACCUGUCCUCCUCCUCCUCUUCUUCCUCUACAAACCCAGUGAAGGGAACAGAGGUGAAAGGAACUCACUGGAGAUUCUCACAAUGUUUUUGUUUAUUUGUUUGUUUGUUUGUUUGUUUUGUGUGCCAUAUUGUCACCUUGUUAGGAAGUCAGUUGAAUGCCACACACACACACACACACACACACACACACACACACACAGGUAUAAGUGCUGGAGGUAAUGGCCACAUAGUGAUUUUUUUUUUCCUACAGAAGGGGAGGGCUGUGGUCAGCAUGUUCAACCUGUUUAAUGUGUGGCUGUGUGUCCCAGAACACCUGUGAAUAUGACCCAGUACAUUUAUAGCUGAUGUCCUAUUAGAACAGAAAAGCACUGCGCACCUUUGAAGAGGGACACGUGGAAGAAACUAGAACAGUUUCCACAGGUAGAAAUAGGGCCCGUGUUCUUCAUCUACACUGAGGAAAUGCUGCCACUCUUAAGCCCACCCUUUUCCUCCAACUGUCUUAAGAAGUUUGAUCCACAUAGUAUGUGAAAAAGAGCCUGGUCUUCCUGGUGUGUUAGGAAGACCUGUUAAGCCAUCUCGGGAAGGGAGUUGGAGAAUGGAGCUGAACAGAUCAAGCAUUGCAAAUCAAUUCAGUGCUGUGAGUAGUCUCAACUGAGAUCUUUCUAUUACAUUUCUCUUAGGUCUCCACUAGCAAUCAGGAAGACAAGGCCAGGUAAAACUUGGUGCAGAUAUGAAAUGUCAUAUCACCAGAACCAAACUGUCUCAGAUGUUCACUGCUUUAGAGGUAUAAACCCCACGUCCUCAUGAGAAAUCCUAGGGCCUGCAAUUCCCCCAGAAUGCAAACCACUUGAUGGGGCAAGGCUUACAGAAUAGGUGGCAUGCCACUUGAUCCAACAUAAAUGAGGCAAUUCUUGCAAAUUUGGCACCUUAAAUCCCCCCAUGCACCAUUCAGCAGGCUCGUGACAGGGACAGCUUGGGAAUGCAGAAGCCAUAGGGAAUUGGAGGGUUGUUUCUUUUCUUUUUUCUUUUUUCUUUUUUUUGUGUGUGUGGGGGUGGGGGGAGUGUGCAGGUCCUGGGAGUUGAACCAAGGGCUUUAUGCAUGCUAAACAAGUGCUUUAGCUCUUAUUUGAGAUAGUCUGUGUCUCCUAGGAUUUCCCAGCAUGGAGAAACACACCAAAGUUAAAAGUAGGGAGAAACCAUUGGUAAUUAAGGACAGAUGGUUUAUAAGCAAGUGGUCCCUGCAAAGGGCCCCCUAGAAGGCAUCACGGUGACCCUUGAACUGUGGGCACCUUUCUGUUCUGCACACCACACACAUCCACAGCUGCACCAGCCCCUCAGACUUGAAAUCCACCUACCAGACCAUGCACCCAUCUGUCUUACCCUGCUUGGACAUUUGGUAUUUUUGGUUUGUUUGUUUUUAUUUGCCCACUUCUCUGAGCAAAGCACAGAUGACAGAGAAACAGUGAGGUUUAUACAUCUCUGUGAUCACAGCAGUUAAGAACAACCUGUGGGAAGAAAUAGUCUUUGAAAAAUGGAUGGCAGAGCCCUGGAGUGAGUGCUGCAAUGUCUGCUGCUCUCAGAAAUUCAGCCUGCCAGUGUUACUAAGGAAAACUUCCCUCCGUGAAAAGGGUCACAUAAAGCCGCUCCCCAUAUGUGUACUCAGUCCACUUUUAUGUCCCCAAGAAAACCUGUCAUGUGCCAUGCCUGUUCCCAGAGGCAUGGAAAGAUGAACAGGCCUCUAGACCACUCAUACACACCUGCCCAUCCCACACCUGCCCCUCCAGGCUCCACGACACCACAGUCUGACUGUUGUAAAUAUUGUUGUACAGUUUGUAAUCAAAUACUCAUGUCGUCAAAGGCCCUGCCUGCUGCGCCUUCUCCCCCCUCGAGCAAGGCCAGGGAAACUAGAAGGGAAACCCUUCGAGGAGAGCUUCAGGGUCCAUCUCUGUGUGAGACGCUACUGUAUAUUCCUGUAAGAUUGCAUUUUUAUCUAAGGAAUGAUGUUAUUUAAAAAACAAACAAAAACGCAAAAAAGAAUUGCAAAUAAAUUUCUUAACAAUGUC
rnacentral:lncRNA from 1 species